UACGGAGGGUGCAAGCGUUAUCCGGAUUUACUGGGUUUAAAGGGUGUGUAGGCGGGCUUUUAAGUCAGUGGUGAAAUCUCCGGGCUCAACCUGGAAAUUGCCAUUGAUACUAUUAGUCUUGAAUUUUGUUGAGGUAGGCGGAAUAAGUCAUGUAGCGGUGAAAUGCAUAGAUAUGACUUAGAACACCAAUUGCGAAGGCAGCUUGCUAAACAAAUAUUGACGCUGAGGCACGAAAGCGUGGGGAGCAAACAGG
rnacentral:rRNA from 1 species